rfam:Laccaria bicolor S238N-H82 LACBIscaffold_6 genomic scaffold, whole genome shotgun sequence.
GCCUUCUUGGCUCAGUUGGUUAGAGCGCAGGUCUCAUAUUCGAAAUAUGAGUAAUCACAUGAUUACGUAAUCCUGAGGUCGCAAGUUCGAACCUUGCAGGGGGCA